GAUGAACGCUAGCGGGAGGCUUAACACAUGCAAGUCGAGGGGUAAAUGGCAGCAAUGCUAUGAGACCGGCGAACGGGUGCGUAACGCGUAUGCAACUUACCUUAUGCAGGGGGAUAGCCCGUGGAAACGCGGAUUAAUAUCCCAUAGAUCAGUGGUAUCGCAUGGUACAGCUGGUAAAGCUCAGGUGGCAUAAGAUGGGCAUGCGUCUGAUUAGCUGGUUGGUAGGGUAACGGCCUACCAAGGCGACGAUCAGUAGGGGUUCUGAGAGGACUUAACCCCCACACUGGUACUGAGACACGGACCAGACUCCUACGGGAGCAGCAGUGAGGAAUAUUGGUCAAUGGGCGGAAGCCUGAACCAGCCAUCCCGCGUGAAGGAAGAAGGCCUUAUGGGUUGUAAACUUCUUUUCUGUUUGAAGAAUAAGCUUGCGAGACAAGUGAUGCCGGUAGGACAGGAAUAAGCAUCGGCUAACUCCGUGCCAGCAGCCG
rnacentral:rRNA from 1 species